rnacentral:rRNA from 1 species
GACGUAGGGCGCGAGCGUUGUCCGGAUUUAUUGGGCGUAAAGAGCUCGUAGGCGGCUUGUCGCGUCGUCCGUGAAAACCUGCGGCUCAACUGCAGGCUGGCGGUCGAUACGCGCAGGCUGGAGUUCGGUAGGGGAGACUGGAAUUCCUGGUGUAGCGGUGAAAUGCGCAGAUAUCAGGAGGAACACCCGUGGCGAAGGCGGUUCUCUGGGACGGUACUGACGCUGAGACGCGAAAGCGUGGGGAGCGAACAGG